rnacentral:rRNA from 1 species
UACGGGGGGGGCAAGCGGUUGUUCGGAAUUACGUGGGCGUAAAGGGCUCGUAGGUGGCCAACUAAGUCAUACGUGAAAUCCCUCGGCUUAACCCGGGGAACUGCGUCUGAUACUGGAUGGCUUGAGGUUGGGAGAGGGAUGCGGAAUUGCCAGGUGUAGCGGUGAAAUGGCGUAGGAUAAUCUGGAGGAACACCGGUGGCGGAAAGGGCGGCCGUGAUCUGGGA